GUCUAGCCUGCCCACUGAAAUUUUUAAAUGGCCGCAGUAUACUAACUGUGCAAAGGUAGCAUAAUCAUUAGUCUUUUAAUUGAAGGCUGGUAUGAAUGGUUGGACGAAAUAUUAACUGUUUCAUAAAAAUUUAUAAUAAAAUUUUAUUUUUUAGUUAAAAAGCUAAAAUUUAUUUAAAAGACGAGAAGACCCUAUAAAUCUUUAUAUUUAAGUUAUAAUAAUUUUAUAGAUUUAUUUUAUUUUUAUAACUAAUAAUAUUUUAUUGGGGUGAUAUUAAAAUUUAAUAAACUUUUAAUUAAUAACUUCAUUAAUUAAUGAAUUUUUGAUCCUUUAUUAAUGAUUAAAAGAUCAAGUUACUUUAGGGAUAACAGCGUAAUUUUUUUUGAGAGUUCUUAUCGAAAAAAAAGAUUGCGACCUCGAUGUUGGAUUAAGAAAUAAUUUUAGGUGUAGUAGCUUAAAUUUUAAGUCUGUUCGACUUU
rnacentral:rRNA from 1 species